GGCGGACGGGUGAGUAACGCGUGAGCAAUCUGCCUUUAGGAGGGGGAUAACAGUCGGAAACGGCUGCUAAUACCGCAUAAUACGUUUGGGAGGCAUCUCUUGAACGUCAAAGAUUUUAUCGCCUUUAGAUGAGCUCGCGUCUGAUUAGCUGGUUGGCGGGGUAACGGCCCACCAAGGCGACGAUCAGUAGCCGGACUGAGAGGUUGAACGGCCACAUUGGGACUGAGACACGGCCCAGACUCCUACGGGAGGCAGCAGUGGGGAAUAUUGCGCAAUGGGGGAAACCCUGACGCAGCAACGCCGCGUGAUUGAAGAAGGCCUUCGGGUUGUAAAGAUCUUUAAUCAGGGACGAAAAAUGACGGUACCUGAAGAAUAAGCUCCGGCUAACUACGUGCCAGCA
rnacentral:rRNA from 1 species